rnacentral:rRNA from 1 species
GAUGAACGCUGACAGAAUGCUUAACACAUGCAAGUCUACUUGAACUUCGGUUUGGGUGGCGGACGGGUGAGUAACGCGUAAAGAACUUGCCUCACAGAUAGGGACAACAUUUGGAAACGAAUGCUAAUACCUGAUAUUAUGAUUUUAAGGCAUCCUAGAAUUAUGAAAGCUAUAUGCACUGUGAGAGAGCUUUGCGUCCCAUUAGCUAGUUGGAGAGGUAACGGCUCACCAAGGCGAUGAUGGGUAGCCGGCCUGAGAGGGUGAUCGGCCACAAGGGGACUGAGAAGCGGCCCUUACUGCACCGGGAGGCAGCAGGGGGGAAUAUUGGACAAGGGACCAAGAGUCUGAUCCAGCAAUUCUGAGUGCACAAUGAAGUUUUUCGGAAUGAAAAGUGCUUUCAGUUGGGAAGAAAAAAAUGACGGUACCAACAGAAGAAGUAACGGCUAAAUACGUG